GGGGAAUAUUGCACAAUGGAGGGAACUCUGAUGCAGCGACGCCGCGUGAGCGAAGAAGGCCUUCGGGUCGUAAAGCUCUGUCCUAUGGGACGAUAAUGACGGUACCAUAGGAGGAAGCCCCGGCUAACUACGUGCCAGCAGCCGCGGUAAUACGUAGGGGGCGAGCGUUGUCCGGAAUGACUGGGCGUAAAGGGUACGUAGGCGGCCAGGUAAGUCAGAUGUGAAAGGCAUAGGCUCAACCUGUGUAAGCAUUUGAAACUGUCUGGCUUGAGUUAAGGAGAGGAAAGUGGAAUUCCUGGUGUAGCGGUGAAAUGCGUAGAUAUCAGGAGGAAUACCAGUGGCGAAGGCGACUUUCUGGACUUAAACUGACGCUGAGGUACGAAAGCGUGGGGAGCAAAC
rnacentral:rRNA from 1 species